GACGAACGCUGGCGGCGUGCUUAACACAUGCAAGUCGAACGGAAAGGCCCUGCUUUUGUGGGGUGCUCGAGUGGCGAACGGGUGAGUAACACGUGAGUAACCUGCCCUUGACUUUGGGAUAACUUCAGGAAACUGGGGCUAAUACCUGAUAGGAGCUCCUGCUGCAUGGUGGGGGUUGGAAAGUUUCGGCGGUUGGGGAUGGACUCGCGGCUUAUCAGCUUGUUGGUGGGGUAGUGGCUUACCAAGGCUUUGACGGGUAGCCGGCCUGAGAGGGUGACCGGCCACAUUGGGACUGAGAUACGGCCCAGACUCCUACGGGAGGCAGCAGUGGGGAAUAUUGCACAAUGGGCGGAAGCCUGAUGCAGCAACGCCGCGUGCGGGACGACGGCCUUCGGGUUGUAAACCGCUUUCGCCUGUGACGAAGCGUGAGUGACGGUAAUGGGUAAAGAAGCACCGGCUAACUACGUG
rnacentral:rRNA from 1 species